AGAGUUUGAUCAUGGCUCAGAACACGCUGGCGGCACNUUAUACAUGCAAGUNGAACGCAGUAGCAAUACUGAGUGGCAGACGGGUGAGUAUGAUGUGGGAAUCUGCCUUUNGGUUUGGAAUAACUCGGGGAAACUUGAGCUAAUACUGGAUAAGCCCUCACGGGGAAAGCUUUAGCGCCAAAAGAUGAGCCCGCACUUGAUUAGCUAGUUGGUGAGGUAAUAGCUCACCAAGGCAACGAUCAAUAGCUGUUCUUAGAGGAAGACCAGCCACAUUGGGACUGAGACACGGCCCAGACUCCUACGGGAGGCAGCAGCCAGUGAUAANCUGGAGNAAGGUGGGGAUGAUGUCAAGUCCUCAUGGCCCUUACGUGUUGGGCUACACACGUGCUACAAUGGCACUUACAAUGAGAUGCUAAGAGGCGACUCCAAGCAAAUCUCAAAAAUGUGCCUCAGUUCGGAUUGUACUCUGCAACUCGAGUACAUGAAGCUGGAAUUGCUAGUAAUCGCGGAUCAGCCGCCGCGGUGAAUACGUUCCCGGGUCUUGUACACACCGCCCGUCACACCAUGGAAGUUGGUUACACCUUAAGGCAAAGGGUCAAACCUUUGACUACGGUACGAUCAGCGACUGGGGUGAAGUCGUAACAAGGUAGCCGUAGGGGAACCUGUGGCUGGAUCACCUCCUU
rnacentral:rRNA from 1 species